rnacentral:lncRNA from 9 species
CUUCUCUUUUUUUCUUUCAGACUAAAGGUCUGAAGGUGCUUGGUAUUUAUUUUUAUGACUGAUUUACAUGUUGUGUGAGCUUUCAUCUCAGUUUUGUUGUUGUUGUUUGUUUGUUUUGCUUUGGUGUUAUAAAGAGCAAAGGGGAAAUGAAUUAAAUUUCCUGAAGAAUAUAAAGUGGAAUAGUGGAAAUAAUCAUUGCAUUUAAAUAUCAAUUACAUUAAAUUCUAUCUUGAGAGUUCUGUAAAUCAAGGGGAAAAGGUGAUUCUUAAUGCUGGUAAAGUAUUUCAAGUGUAAAUAAGAAUGAAGGCCAAGAGCAAGAGAGAUGAUUGCGAUGUAGGUAGAUUUAACUGAUUAAGAGACAAACAUGGAUUGGAUGAAAAAAGGGAAGUAAAAUCAGGGCAAGUCAGUGAAGGAACUUGAAACUGAGGGUUAAAAUCUAGUUUUAGAGUUUAGGACAAGCCAAAGAUUUAACAAAAUAUAUUCUGUAAAUUUUUUUCUAAGAGCACACCAUAAAAAAAUGGGGUUUCAAGAACGUUUAUGAGAUAAUUUCCUGGGGGACAUUUCAUGACUCUUCCCUGCCUUUGUGAAGUGAGUUAUGUGGCCUUGUCAAUUAUUGACUUGUAUUCAGACAGAAAGUGAGGACUUCCGAACCUUCGUUUUCAAUGAAGUGCUUGAAGAAUUCAUGAAGAUCACGGUCUUCCUGCUCUUGAGGACUUUUAGAAUCUACUUUGGGCCAGAAGUCUCUUUAGUCCCAGUUUCAUCUCAGGUAUGUCUCCUUACAUAGACACAUUUUUAUUUUUAGGUUUUCUUUUUCUUUUUUUUUUUGUCUUUUGGCACUGCACCC